rnacentral:rRNA from 1 species
GACGAACGCUGGCGGCGUGCUUAACACAUGCAAGUCGAACGGAAAGGCCCUGCUUUUGUGGGGUGCUCGAGUGGCGAACGGGCGAGUAACACGUGAGUAACCUGCCCUUGACUUUGGGAUAACUUCAGGAAGUUGGGGCUAAUACCGGAUAGUAGAUCCUGCUGCAUGGUGGGGGUUGGAAAGUUUCGGCGGUUGGGGAUGGACUCGGGGCUUAUCAGCUUGUUGGUGGGGGAGUGGCUUACCAAGGCUUUGACGGGUAGCCGGCCUGAGAGGGUGACCGGCCACAUUGGGACUGAGAUACGGCCCAGACUCCUACGGGAGGCAGCAGUGGGGAAUAUUGCACAAUGGGCGGAAGCCUGAUGCAGCAACGCCGCGUGCGGGAUGACGGCCUUCGGGUUGUAAACCGCUUUCGCCUGUGACGAAGCGUGAGUGACGGUAAUGGGUAAAGAAGCACCGGCUAACUACGUGCCAGCAGCCGCCGCGG